rnacentral:rRNA from 1 species
AACGUAGGACACGAGCGUUAUCCGGAUUUACUGGGCGUAAAGGGCGUGCAGGCGGUUUUGUAAGUUUGUUGUGAAAGCGCCCGGCUUAACCGGGCGAGGACAUUGGAGACUGCAAGACUAGAGGCAGAUAGAGGGGUGUAGAAUUCCGGGUGUAGUGGUGAAAUGCGUAGAGAUCCGGAGGAAUACCAGAGGCGAAGGCGGCACCCUGGGUCUGACCUGACGCUGAGACGCGACAGCAUGGGGAGCGAACGGG